rnacentral:rRNA from 1 species
UACGUAGGGUGCGAGCGUUAAUCGGAAUUACUGGGCGUAAAGUGUGCGCAGGCGGCUGAGCAAGUCGAGUGUGAAAGCCCCGAGCUUAACUUGGGAAUUGCGCUCGAAACUACUUGGCUGGAGUGUGGCAGAGGAAGGUGGAAUUCCACGUGUAGCGGUGAAAUGCGUAGAGAUGUGGAGGAACACCAAUGGCGAAGGCAGCCCCCUGGGCCACUACUGACGCUCAUGCACGAAAGCGUGGGGAGCAAACAGG